rnacentral:lncRNA from 13 species
AUGGAAAAGUCCACAGACCCACUCCAAAAGGCUUUCGGAGCCAUCAUCGACUCAGUGGGUUUUGUCCAACAUGUCUCUGGACCCACUCACUGUCACAGUCAUACGCUGGACCUAGUUUUGUCCCAUGGAAUAAAUGUUGUGGAUCUUAAUGUUUUUCCUCAUAAUCCUGGACUAUCGGACCACCAUUUUAUUACAUUUGCAAUUGCAACAAAUAAUCUGCUCAGACCCCAACCAAGGAACAUCAAAAGUCGUGCUAUAAAUUCACAGACAACACAAAGAUUCCUUGAUGAACUUCCAGAUUCAAUCUGUCUACCCAAGGACGCCAGAGGACAAAAAUCAGUUAACCACCUAACUGAGGAACUCAAUUUAACCUUGCGCAAUACCCUAGAUGCAGUUGCACUCCUAAAAACUAAAAACAUUUCUCAUAAGAAACUAGCUCCCUGGUACACAGAAAAUACCCGAGCUCUGAAGCAAGCUUCCAGAAAAUUGGAACGGAAAUGGCGCCCCACCAAACUGGAAGUCUUCCGACUAGUUUGGAAAGACAGUACCGUGCAGUAUCAAAGAGCCCUUACUGCUGCUCGAUCAUCCUAUUUUUCUAACUUAAUUGAGGAAAAUAAGAACAAUCCGAAAUACGUUUUUUAUACUGUCGCAAAGUUAACUAAAAAGCAGCAUUCACCAAGAGAGGAUGACUUUCACUUUAGCAGUGAUAAAUUCAUGAACUUCUUUGAGGAAAAUAUGAUGAUUAUUAGAAAGCAAAUUACGGACUCCUCUUUAAAUCUGCGUAUUCCUUCAAAGCUCAGUUGUCCUGAGUCUGCACAACUCUGCCAGGACCUAGGAUCAAGAGAGACGCUCAAGUGUUUUAGUACUAUAUCUCUUGACACAAUGAUGAAAAUAAUCAUGGCCUCUAAACCUUCAAGCUGCAUACUGGACCCUAUUCCAACUAAACUACUGAAAGAGCUGCUUCCUGUGCUUGGCCCUCCUAUGUUGAACAUAAUAAAUGGCUCUCUAUCCACUGGAUGUGUACCAAACUCACUAAAAGUGGCAGUAAUAAAGCCUCUCUUGAAAAAGCCAAACCUUGACCCAGAAAAUAUAAAAAAAUAUGGGCCUAUAUCAAAUCUUCCAUUCCUCUCAAACAUUUUAGAAAAGGCUGUUGAAACUCACUGCCUUCCUGAAGACAAACAAUGUAUACGAAAUGCUUCAGUCUGGUUUUAG